CACAGAAACCACCCAUCCCUCCUUAGGGAAGAUUCAAGCUCUGUUGGAUUCAUGCCAGGUGAUCAUGCUGUACAUUUUAUACACUCGACACACUGUUAUAAAAUUGAAACAUCUAAAAGAAACGUUCUGGGACAUCGAACGUUCUCAUUCAAUAAAAGGAAGAUGUCACCCGUGGUUCCAGUGAGAGUGUCUGAUGAGGCACAGUGUUCAAGAUUAUGAUUGCGUAUGGGAAGAAUGGAAAAUCUACAUUUGGCAAAAACUAGUAGGAAGAGAAGUGACAAGUGAAGAAAAAGUGACAAUAAUAUUUAUUAGCUUUAUACAGGUUUUCCAAAUCCUAUUAGCACAAAAGAAAACAAACAGUACUUUACAGCUAUGUUUUUCUAUGAACGAACUAUUGUUUUCAGAAUGCUCAUCAGUGCGAAAAGCUACCAAGGGGAGAUAAUGGCACAUAGAAAUAAAGUCUGAGCUGAAGGAAAAUGCUGCCAUUUGAUAGGAUUUGCUUUUGUUUGCUUUUCAUGAUGUGUUUUAUUCAGAAUAUUAAGAAAGCAAGGGGAAGCAAGUCUUCUUUUCAACUGCAGCCUAAGCUAUAAAAAGAGUAUUUUGGAGUGUACAUAUACAGUUUAUAAUCAUAAAAACAA